AGACACACGUCAAGGACCAAAUGGGACCUUCCGCACCACACCUGCCUCUCAGCGAUCUAACAACCACCUUCUCGUGUACUCGUCCAGGGAGGGACUCACCGCAAGGAACAGCUGUCGGCUCGGAGGAGGGGGACCGCAGUGCAAUAUGUGCCGUCAGAGUUUAAGAACCGCUACUCUCCUGAACGGCUCCACCCUGCAGAUGGUUCCCUUGGGCCCUACCCUUGCCACACUUGGGCCAGAUGCGCUCAUGUACCGUGGCAAGUCAUGUGUUCAGAGCCAGAUAUGAAAGUUUGAUGAGAUGGUCAGUUUAUCAUUCCGUAAUGCUGCCUCGCCAAGCCUCACCUACAAUAGCUACAGAAUGGUGACAGCGGUAGAAAAGUUCUUUACGCGCGAAAUAAUGGAUCUUCUCUUGGUUUUAACUCUGAGUGGCUGUAACUAUACAUUGAAACAACUUUUUUUUUCCAAGCAAUGCAAACACGACUACGAUUGGGUGAAACAAGGUACGAGAUGCGAGCAUAUAAAUUCUGAUGCUGAUUAUGGCAGUGUUUGAAGUGAGGACUAUAAAACUGUCGGACAUUUUUUUUCCUACCAUGACAAAUAAGAUUGUAUUAUAUCACAAUAGCAAUUGAAGAGCCAGAAAAGAAAGUAAAAUCAAAUCAGUGAAAAAAUACUAGAGAAUAAAGAUGAAUAUCCGUCCAUGAGCAUAUUUUUUUUUAUGGAUCAAUGUGUGUGUG